rnacentral:pre_miRNA from 1 species
AAAGUACUCCCUCCGUCCCAAAAUUCUUGUCUUAGAUUUGUCUAGAUACAGAUGUAUCAAGUCACAUUUUAGUAUUAGAUACAUCCGUAUCUGGAAAAAUCUAAGACAAGAAAUUUGGGACAGAGUGAGUAGUUG